GAUGAACGCUGGCGGCGUGCCUAAUACAUGCAAGUCGAGCGACCGGACGAGAAGCUUGCUUCUCUGCUGUUAGCGGCGGACGGGUGAGUAACACGUGGAUAACCUACCUAUAAGACUGGGAUAACUUCGGGAAACCGGAGCUACUACCGGAUAAUAUUUUGAACCGCAUGGUUCAAAAGUGAAUGACGGUCUUGCUGUCACUUAUAGAUGGAUCCGCGCUGCAUUAGCUAGUUGGUAAGGUAACGGCUUACCAAGGCACCGAUGCAUAGCGGACCGGAGAGAGGAUCCGGCAAAACGGAAACGAAGACACGGCCAAGACCCUAAGGGAGGGAGGAGGUGGGAAAUCUGCCGAAAGGGGCGAAGCCCUGACGAGGCAACGCGGGUGGGGGAAGAAGGGCUUCGGGUUGGAAAAACUCUGUUAUUGGGAAAAAAAAUAGGUGUAAGUAACCGCGCACAUCUGACGGUAACCAAAUAAGAAGCCACGGCUAACUACGUG
rnacentral:rRNA from 1 species